GCUCCACUGGUUCAAUAGGCAGAGACAUCAGACUUAAACCCUGUGUAAUCCUGGUUCAAAUCCCGGGUGGAGUA
rnacentral:tRNA from 1 species